UACCGUGUUGUCUAGUGGUUAAGACGUCUGGCAAAUGCUUUGAAGAUCCGGGUUCGAUUCCUGGCGCGGUAG
rfam:Glossina morsitans morsitans, isolate Yale, WGS project CCAG01000000 data, contig: ctg10020322